GGCGGCAUGCCUUACACAUGCAAGUCGAACGGAUUGAGGGGCUUGCUCCUCAGUUAGUGGCGAACGGGUGAGUAAUGCAUCGGAACGUACCCAGUCGUGGGGGAUAACUACUCGAAAGAGUAGCUAAUACCGCAUACGUCCUGAGGGAGAAAGCGGGGGACUCGCAAGAGCCUCGCGCGAUUGGAGCGGCCGAUGUCAGAUUAGCUAGUUGGUAGGGUAAAAGCCUACCAAGGCGACGAUCUGUAGCUGGUCUGAGAGGACGACCAGCCACACUGGGACUGAGACACGGCCCAGACUCCUACGGGAGGCAGCAGUGGGGAAUUUUGGACAAUGGGCGAAAGCCUGAUCCAGCCAUGCCGCGUGAGUGAAGAAGGCCUUCGGGUUGUAAAGCUCUUUCGGACAGAAAGAAAUCGCACGGACUAAUACUCUGUGUGGAUGACGGUACUGUAAGAAGAAGCACCGGCUAACUACGUGCCAGCAGCCGCGGUAAUACGUAGGGUGCGAGCGUUAAUCGGAAUUACUGGGCGUAAAGGGUGCGCAGGCGGUUAUAUAAGACAGAUGUGAAAUCCCCGGGCUCAACCUGGGAACUGCGUUUGUGACUGUAUGACUAGAGUACGGUAG
rnacentral:rRNA from 1 species